AUUGAACGCUGGCGGCAGGCCUAACACAUGCAAGUCGAGCGGUAGCACAGAGAGCUUGCUCUCGGGUGACGAGCGGCGGACGGGUGAGUAAUGUCUGAGAAACUGCCUGAUGGAGGGGGAUAACUACUGGAAACGGUAGCUAAUACCGCAUAACGUCGCAAGACCAAAGAGGGGGACCUUCGGGCCUCUUGCCAUCAGAUGUGCCCAGAUGGGAUUAGCUAGUAGGUGGGGUAACGGCUCACCUAGGCGACGAUCCCUAGCUGGUCUGAGAGGAUGACCAGCCACACUGGAACUGAGACACGGUCCAGACUCCUACGGGAGGCAGCAGUGGGGAAUAUUGCACAAUGGGCGCAAGCCUGAUGCAGCCAUGCCGCGUGUAUGAAGAAGGCCUUCGGGUUGUAAAGUACUUUCAGCGGGGAGGAAGGUGUUGUGGCUAAUAACCACAGCAAUUGACGUUACCCGCAGAAGAAGCACCGGCUAACUCCGUGCCAGCAGCCGCCGUAA
rnacentral:rRNA from 1 species